CAGUCGCCGCGGUAAUACAGAGGGUGCGAGCGUUAAUCGGAUUUACUGGGCGUAAAGCGUGCGUAGGCGGCUUCUUAAGUCGGAUGUGAAAUCCCUGAGCUUAACUUAGGAAUUGCAUUCGAUACUGGGAAGCUAGAGUAUGGGAGAGGAUGGUAGAAUUCCAGGUGUAGCGGUGAAAUGCGUAGAGAUCUGGAGGAAUACCGAUGGCGAAGGCAGCCAUCUGGCCUAAUACUGACGCUGAGGUACGAAAGCAUGGGGAGCAAACAGGAUUAGAUACCCCUGUAGUCCCUGUCUCUUAUCC
rnacentral:rRNA from 1 species